rnacentral:rRNA from 1 species
CCUACGGGUGGCUGCAGUGGGGAAUAUUGGACAAUGGGCGAAAGCCUGAUCCAGCCAUGCCGCGUGUGUGAAGAAGGCCUUCGGGUUGUAAAGCACUUUCAGUGGGGAAGAAAGCCUUGGGGCUAAUACCCUCGAGGAAGGACAUCACCCACAGAAGAAGCACCGGCUAACUCCGUGCCAGCAGCCGCGGUAAUACGGAGGGUGCGAGCGUUAAUCGGAAUUACUGGGCGUAAAGCGCGCGUAGGCGGUCUGAUAAGCCGGUUGUGAAAGCCCCGGGCUCAACCUGGGAACGGCAUCCGGAACUGUCAGGCUAGAGUGCAGGAGAGGAGGGUAGAAUCCCCGGUGUAGCAGUGAAAUGCGUAGAGAUCGGGAGGAAUACCAGUGGCGAAGGCGGCCUUCUGGACUGACACUGACGCUGAGGUGCGAAAGCGUGGGUAGCAAACAGGAUUAGAUACCCUAGUAGUC